rnacentral:lncRNA from 1 species
AGAGUUUUUACGUCAAGUACUAUUGUUUCGUUGUUCUGAAGUGGUGAGAAACAAUAGAAAUGGAGAUCAGCGAUCUAAUGGUCAGUCACUAGGAAACCUUUGCUACAUAGCACCCGGUCUUUUGUGUUCAGUUAUCCUGAAACCUUUGCUACACUUGGUCCGCAUGUCUUUCUGGUACAGUAUCUCCUUUGAAACACCUGUGCUGAUCACUCGUGUCGUUAUCCAAGCGUAAAACAUCUGGUGGUGUAAAACAUUCACUCGGGUCGACGUCUAUCAGUCAAACUGAGUGAGUUUGAUUACUGCAGCAACCAGCUGCUGGGCCAGCUACUCGGCCCACAGGAGCUGGGCCGCCAUGGCUUGGUGGAGAAGCUGAGCAGCUGCCGACCGACCAGCGAGGCAGCAGCAUCUCCUCCUAUUCUCCUCCGUCCAUGCUCACGCCGCGCCGCC